CCUACGGGAGGCAGCAGUGAGGAAUAUUGGUCAAUGGGCGAAAGCCUGAACCAGCCAAGUCGCGUGAGGGAGUACUGCCCUAUGGGUUGUAAACCUCUUUUGUCGGGGAGCAGAAGCCGGACGUGUCCGGCUGUGAGAGUACCCGAAGAAAAAGCAUCGGCUAACUCCGUGCCAGCAGCCGCGGUAAUAAGGAGGAUGCGAGCGUUAUCCGGAUUUGUUGGGUUUAGAGGGUUCGCAGGCGGAUGUUUAAGUCAGCGGUCAAAUCGUGGGGCUAACCCCCAUCCAGCCGUUGAAACUGGGGAUCUAGAGUGUGCGAGAGGUAUGCGGAAUGCGUGGUGUAGCGGUGAAAUGCAUAGAUAUCAGGAAGAACCCCGAUGGCGAAGGCAGCACACUGGUGCACAACUGACGCUCAGGUACGAAAGCGUGGGUAGCGAACAGGAUUAGAUACCCCUGUAGUC
rnacentral:rRNA from 1 species